rnacentral:rRNA from 1 species
GACGAACGCUGGCGGCGUGCCUAAUACAUGCAAGUAGGACGCAGUUGCGAACGGGUGAGUAACGCGUAGGUAACUACCUAGUAGAGGGGGAUAACUAUUGGAAACGAUAGCUAAUACCGCAUACUAGUAGAUGGACCUGCGUGGUAUUAGCUAGUAGGUAGGGUAAGGGGCUACCUAGGCAACGAUACAAAGCCGACCCUAGAGGGUGAUCGGGCACACGUGGGCUGGGACACGGCCCCGACUCCUACGGGAGGCAGCCGUAGGGGAUCUUCGGCAAUUGGGGGAACGCUGACCGAGCAACGCCGCGGUAGUGAAGAAGGGUUUCGGAUCGUAAAGCUCUUUUGUUACGGAAGCGGUACUUAACCAGAAAGGGACGGCUAACUCCGUGCCAGCAGCCGCGGUAAUAC